rnacentral:lncRNA from 1 species
GGUGCCGCUUGGGGUAAAAUUAGGAGGGUCAGUCAUGAAUUCUGGUUUGAAUUAACUUUGAGAUUUAGUCAGACUUGAGGUAUGCAGAUCGGGGGAACCAACUAGGAGAGCUUACAAGGGAGCAAGAUGAGAUUAAAUACACUUAUAGGAAUAAAUAAAUAAUCAAGGAGAUUAAAGGCUUACAAAGAAGGGAAAAGAAGAGAAAUAUGGUCAAUGACAGUGUUGAACAAUAAUAGAUAUAAGAGAACAGAAGAAAGAUGUUAAGGUGAACCAGAGGGGAAAUGAAAAUAAGAGAGUGAUAAAACAGCAUAAUUGAAAACAAUAUUCGGCAAAUAUAUGUGUUAUGAUCUGUUGUACUGUGGUGAUGUGUGCGUUGUUGAAUAUGGCCAACCCUGCGGCCGCGGAAAUCGAAUUCCGGUACAAGUUCUGCAGUGACUUGCAGAAGUAGUGCGCUGAGUAAUUGCGUUGUAAAUGUGUUUGCUUGAAUGUGUGUGCGUGAUGGAUAUUGGAAAUGGUUGCAUGUGAGUGCUUUAAACCUUGCUGUUAACUUUUAUAACUGUGAUCUGUUAUGGAUGUGUACGUUUGUACAGUGGAACCGGGUAAUGAGGCUUCGGAUGAAAUGUGGUGUGUAUGCAUAUGCAUUGUUUAUAUUAACCUGUUUACAUUUACCUGCAGGAUUAUGAGCUCUGUUAGGAGCUGUGUGUGUGGCCUGUUGUUGGGUCGUGAGGUGUGUGUGUGUUGCGUGACAACUUCUUGAAAACGUAAAAUGCAGAAUCUGCGUGGCCUGUAAUUGGGUUGUUGAGUGUAAGUGUUGAGUGAAUAAUUGCGUGAUGAAUUAAUUUACCGAAAUUUGGGUGGAUGUUGAGCCUAGUAAGUAGCAUAAAUUUGGGAUUGCCUGUGAGAGAAUUAUUAAUAUGACAGGGAAAAAGGGACUCGGGCUAAUUGAAAGAAUUGGAGCAGAUGUGCAGGUGAAGGGAGAAACUGAGUGAGGGAAAAAUAUGGAGAGAGCAGACCUGACGAGUCUGCAGGUUGUAGGGUGUGUGUAAAGGAAAGAAGAGACUGAGCAGAAAAAAAAUUGAGGCAGUGAGAAAGAGCAGUCCUUUGGGGGUGGCAGGGGGAUAGAGCGGGCCUGCUGAGCUGUUUCGGUUAGUGCAGAAGAGUUAGUGUUUGUUGAGGAGUGAAAAAGUAAGGAAAGAAAAAUGGUGAGACAGAGACAGAGAGAGGGCAGACUUGCUGGGUCAUUUCGGGAUAAUGCAGGAGUGACAGUGAUCAGUGAAACAGUGAGGAAAAGAUGAACAUGGAGAGAUGGGAGAAGAGGAAUAAGAGAGGUUGCAAAAUUGGUUUUAGAGGAGGUGGUUGCGGAAUGAUAGAGGAAGCCGAGAGUGAUGAGAAUAUUUUGCAGGCAGGGAGAUGUUCAAGUCAAGAACGAGUAAGAAAAGGGAGGUCGGGUAGAGGAAAAUCCCAACCAAAGGAAUGAAUGAAUUGAGUGGAAACUAGGUGGUGCUGUCAGGAAAAUUGUCUUGAA